UAUCUGUGUGUCUGUCUGAGUGUCUGUUGUCAACUUAAACCUUCACCAUAACUUUAGAACUAUACGAGAUAGUGGCUUCAUAUUUAGUAUGCAUACUCCACUAAAGAAGUGCUUUCAAAUGGCAACAAGGACAAUGAUUAAAUGUGAUCUUGACUGUGACCUGUAUGCUAAAAAAAAUUGCAUUUUCGAACUUUGUUGCUGUGUUUCACAAGCGCAUCUUGUUUUUAGCUCUACUGGUCAGAGACCAGAAGAGCUUAUGCGAUAGUAAUGCGUCCGGCGUCCGUCUGUCUGUCCAUCUGUCUGCAAACACUACUCCUCCUUAAAUUUUAGUCUGAUUUCUAUAUAACUUGGCACACAAGUAGACUAUACUAAGAUACAUAAUUCUGUGCAUCAGUUUUUGAUAAGUACAAACCAGUAGAGCUACAGUCUCGACAGAGACUUCUGGUUAUUUUUUCUUCCAUCCCGGUUGUUGCUAAUGCUAUUACAUAAUUAGUUUAAAUUAGAAUGCAAUAGUACCUGGACAUAAUUUAUCAUUUCAGAGAGAAGAAAACUGUGUGACUUUAAAAGAAAACCAGUGAGAUAAAAUCAUAGAAAAUGUAUGAUGAUUCAGGAUGUGGUUAUUUGGUCCUGUUCUGUGGAUGCCCUAAGACAGUGUCUACCCAUCACUCCAUCUGAAAUCACUUGUUCUGUGCAUAUUUCUCUCUCAAACUUAAACUACAAAGAGCCUGUGGAUAGAGGAUGAAGAGUGACCUUGGACUAAUUUUCUAGGUCAAAGAUCAUAGGUGAUGUGAAGAAAACCAGGAAACUGAUGUUGAAAGAAGUACUUAAUGACCCGUAUGAAUGGACUUAAAUGUGAAAGACUGUUCCAUUGUUUAUCUAAGAUAUAUGAAUUUAUUUAAUAUUUUGAUAUCAUUGAAAAAUUCAGUUACAGUUUUUGUACAUCAAAUGAAUUAU